CCUACGGGAGGCUGCAGUGGGGAAUAUUGGACAAUGGGGGGAACCCUGAUCCAGCCAUGCCGCGUGUGUGAAGAAGGCCCUCGGGUUGUAAAGCACUUUCAGUGAGGAAGAACGCCUGGUGGUUAAUACCCAUCAGGAAAGACAUCACUCACAGAAGAAGCACCGGCUAACUCCGUGCCAGCAGCCGCGGUAAUACGGAGGGUGCGAGCGUUAAUCGGAAUUACUGGGCGUAAAGCGCGCGUAGGUGGCUUGAUAAGCCGGUUGUGAAAGCCCCGGGCUCAACCUGGGAACGGCAUCCGGAACUGUCAAGCUAGAGUGCAGGAGAGGAAGGUAGAAUUCCCGGUGUAGCGGUGAAAUGCGUAGAGAUCGGGAGGAAUACCAGUGGCGAAGGCGGCCUUCUGGACUGACACUGCCACUGAGGUGCGAAAGCGUGGGUAGCAAACAGGAUUAGAUACCCUUGUAGUC
rnacentral:rRNA from 1 species